rnacentral:rRNA from 1 species
UAAGUGAAGAGUUUGAUCCUGGCUCAGAUUGAACGCUGGCGGCAUGCCUAACACAUGCAAGUCGAACGGCAGCACAGCAGUAGCAAUACUGUGGGUGGCGAGUGGCGGACGGGUGAGUAAUGCAUCGGGACCUACCUGAACGUGGGGGAUAACGUAGGGAAACUUACGCUAAUACCGCAUACGUCCUACGGGAGAAAGCGGGGGAUCUUCGGACCUCGCGCGGUCAGACGGACCGAUGUUCGAUUAGCUAGUUGGUAGGGUAAUGGCCUACCAAGGCGACGAUCGAUAGCUGGUCUGAGAGGAUGAUC